rnacentral:tRNA from 1 species
AGCAGCGUAGCUCAGUGGAAAGAGCCCGGGCUUGGGAGUCGGAGGCCACCGGUUCGAAUCCCGGCUCUGCCA